rnacentral:rRNA from 1 species
CCUACGGGAGGCAGCAGUGAGGAAUAUUGGUCAAUGGACGAGAGUCUGAACCAGCCAAGUAGCGUGAAGGAUGACUGCCCUAUGGGUUGUAAACUUCUUUUAUAUGGGAAUAAAACGUUCCACGUGUGGGAUUUUGUAUGUACCAUAUGAAUAAGGAUCGGCUAACUCCGUGCCAGCAGCCGCGGUAAUACGGAGGAUCCGAGCGUUAUCCGGAUUUAUUGGGUUUAAAGGGAGCGUAGGUGGAUUGUUAAGUCAGUUGUGAAAGUUUGCGGCUCAACCGUAAAAUUGCAGUUGAAACUGUCAGUCUUGAGUACAGUAGAGGUGGGCGGAAUGCGUGGUGUAGCGGUGAAAUGCUUAGAUAUCACGAAGAACUCCGAUUGCGAAGGCAGUUCACUGGACUGCAACUGACACUGAGGCUCGAAAGUGUGGGUAUCAAACAGGAUUAGAUACCCGUGUAGUC